ensembl:lncRNA
UUUUUUUUUUUUUUUCUUUUUUGCCACACAGGCAGUAUGUGGAAGUUCCUGGGCCAGGGAUUGAACCUACACCACAUAGCAGCAACCAGAGCCACAGCAGUGAGAAUGCAGGAGCCUCAGUCCGCUAGGCCAUCAGAGAACCCCCAACUGUAUUAUUUUUAAUGGAACUUAAUAUACAUCGACAGAAGACUAAAUAAAUUAUGAUAAUCCAAACAGGCAAACAAAAUACAUCCAUUAAGAUAAUGAAUGAUUUUAAUUUCCUUUUUGCUUAUUGUCUCUUUUCUGGUUUUCACUCAAAGAAACCAUGCAUUUCUUAUGUAAAUUUUUACAUUAAUAAGCAAUUUUUUGGGCCACUCCCAGAGGCACGCUAAAGUUCCUGGGCCAGGGAUUGAACACACACCACAGCAGCGACCCAAGCCAUUGCAGUGACAAUGCUGGAUCCUUAACCCACUGAGUCAUAUGGUAAUUCCUAACAAAUACUUUUAUAUGAUAAAAAGAUAAUUAUAAAAAUAAUUAUAAAAAUUAAAAGGGAGGAGUUCCCAUUGUGGCUCCAUGGAAAUGAAUGUGACUAGCAUCCAUGAAGACGUGGGUUCGAUUCCUGGCCUUGCUCAGUAGGUUAGGGAUCUGGCAUUGCUGUGAGCUGUGGUAUAGGUCACAAACACGGCUGGGUCCCACAUUGCUCUGGCUGUAGCAUAGGCCGGCAGUUGCAGCUCCGGUUCAACUCCUAGCCUGGGAACUUCCAUAUGCUGCAUCUGCAGCCCUAAAAAGACAAAAUAAACAAAUUAAAGGGGAAUUAGAGAAGUCUAAUGAGCAAGAACUAAUAUAUUUACUAUUUAAAGAACCUAUUCUAUUCACAAGAAAAACACUAAAAUUCUAGUAAUAAUGAACAAAAGAAAAAUAAAAGGAAACAAGCCUAUAAGAAAAAGUCUCAAUCAUAAAAUAAGUGCAAAAUCAGACACCAAGCUUAUCCUUUCAUUAGAGUGGAAAAGGGUUUUUUUUUUGUCUUUUUGCCUUUUCUAGGGCCACUCCCACAGCAUAUGGAGGUUCCCAAGCUAGGGGUCUAACUGGAGCUAGUUGGAUUCGUUAACCACUGAGCCACAACGGGAACUCCCAAAAAUUUUUUUUUUUUUUUUUUUUAAAUAUAUAUAGGAGUCCCCAUUGUGACUCAGCGGAAAUGAACCACCUAGUAACCACGAGGUUGCUGGUUUGAUCCCUGGCCUUGCUCAGUGGGUUAAGGAUCUGGUGUUGCCACGAGCUGUGGUGUAGGUCACAGAAGUAGCUUGGUUCCUGCGUUGCUGUGACCAUGGCGUAGGCCAGCAGCUGUAGCUCUGAUUACACCCCUAGCCUGGGAACCUCCNNNNNNNNNNNNNNNNNNNNNNNNNNNAAAAAAAAAAAAAAAAAAAAAAAAAAAAAAUUAUAUAUACACACACACACACAAUAUUAAUAGAAUAUGGAAUAACAGGCAUUCUCAAAUCCCAUCUAACUAUUUAAUCCAGCAUUUUCUCUUCUAGGACUCUAGCCAAAAAUACUCCUAACUAGGAAAACAACUUUUCAGCAGAACAUCCUUUACAAUGUUCCUUGUAAAGGAAAGUAAUGGAACUACAGUAGAAUAUUACUUGAGGAUUUAAACACUAGAAGAAUCCAAACACUGCUGAUCCGUUUCAGAAAGAUUUUAUCCAUUCUGAUACCGAAUGACUUACUAGAAUGCAAGGCAUGUAGUGGUGUGAAUAACUGCCAGGCCAACUCGUGGAAUCCUGAAAAGGUUGGUACCAGUCACAGGAACACAUUCAAAAGGACUGCCAGAGGCUAUUUUACGUUGUGAAAACAUCAUUCUUUUCAUAGGAUAAAGGUUAUUUACCCCCAAAAAGAGGAUAUUCCAGAUAGGAAAACUUAAGGAAGUGCAUGAAAGAGCAAGCAGAAGAUGACACAGAUCCUUUACACAAAGAGUUGUUGCACCAUUUACUAUUUCAAUGUCUGCAGAAGCUUACCACAAACCCUGGUGCAUUCCUGACAUUCCUAGAUGCAGAAUCAUACACAUCUCAAAAGAAAUAAACUUUGUACAUAUUAAUUUGCAAUGCAUGAUGCUUUUAGGCCAUUUUAAGGAAAUAAGUCUCAUUUCUACUAGAAUAACUAAUUAGAAAAUACCUAAUUAUCUUAGAUUCCUUUUGAAAUAAGGCAGAAUUAAAUAAAAAUUGAGAAAAGAAUUAAAUGAGGCAGUAUAAAUUUAUCCAUGGCAGAGGUGGGGGACCACAAAAAUAUUAAUAGUUCAUUCAUUCAAAUUCAUCAACACAUAUAAAUUGAACACCUGUUACAUACUAGGCACUGUGUUCAUGUUGAGAAAUAUAAAUUGGUCAGGGUCACUGUUAUUCUGGAACUUACAUUCUAGGAGGGGUGAAAGACCAAUUCUCAAAUAAGGGUAUGUGUGGCAGUGACCUCCCCCGCCAUCCGCAACUUUUUCCCUUGUUUUUCUUCUAUUUACUAUCAACUAUUCUCAUGAAUGUGCACUUUAAAAAUACUCAUUUUUGGAGUCCCCGUCGUGGCUCAGGGGUUAACGAAUCCAACUAGGAACCAUGAGGUUGUGGGUUCGAUCCCUGGCCUUGCUCAGUGGGUAAAGCAUCCAGCCUUGCCCGUGAGCUGUGGUGUAGGUUGCAGACGCAGCUUGGAUCCCAUGUUGCUAUGGCUCUGGCGUAGACCAUGGCUAGUGGCUACAGCUCCGAUCAGACUCCUAGCCUGGGAACCUCCUUAUGCUGCGGGAGCGGCUCAAGAAAAGGCAAAAAAAAAAAAAAAAAAA